rnacentral:rRNA from 1 species
UGGGUAACCUGCCUUAUAGUGGGGGAUAGCCUUUCGAAAGGAAGAUUAAUACCGCAUAAGAUUGUAGUAUCGCAUGAUAUAGCAAUUAAAGGAGCAAUCCGCUAUAAGAUGGACCCGCGUCGCAUUAGCUAGUUGGUGAGGUGAUGGCUCACCAAGGCGACGAUGCGUAGCCGACCUGAGAGGGUGAUCGGCCACAUUGGGACUGAGACACGGCCCAGACUCCUACGGGAGGCAGCAUG